GCACAUCAGCACUAGGUUUUCUUGGCAACCCACCCAGCUUGUGACAAAUUAACUAAGAUGCUGUGCCAGGUAGUGUGAACAUCCUAUACUGGACUAUCUUUUCUGCAGUGUGUCUGGAUUUAGUCUACCUAAAUACAAAACAGAAGACAACAAAGUUUGUUCUUCUCUAACCUGCUGGCUGAAGGUGAAAAACUCAAGAGGCUGAGAACAUGGCAGGACUGUUAUAUAUGCAGGGAAUUGGGAACCCUGGAUGUGGGCAUUGGAGCCCAGUCACCUCACAGACCAAGGUCAUGGUGUAAAAGAGAAAGAAACCUUUACAGCCAAGUGGCUAAGAGGUCAAGGAUAGAUGAAUAACCUUUCCCCUCAGACUCUGAAAGUGCAAAGCCAGGACCAGAACUGACACAGUGAUGAUGCUCUGUUGUAUGAAACAGUCACCAAGCUCCUCCUGAGAAGCAUCACUCUACUGGUUUUCCAGUUUCCAUUUGCUACCUGCAAUGCUCACUGGGUUGCUGGAAAUACUGAUCUUCAGACCACUUGGAACAAUGAAGGCUGACACACAGUUCAGAAGUGGGGAAGACAGAUAUCUGUUCCAUUGGGAAAACAAUGAAAACUUUGGAAAAGAAAGAGGCUGUUGAGAUACUGAAAAACUUAGCAACACCCAAUCUUUUUAGAAAUUUAGUCCACAGUAAUUGCUUCCAGCCUCCUUCCAAUUGGCAAUCAAAAGCUCCUGCCUCCAGGUUUCUGCCUCGAGUUCCUGCCUUGGC